rnacentral:lncRNA from 1 species
AAUGCUUGACUCACAUUAAUAAAUUAUCGUGAAAUACUUGAUAAUGAUAUAUUUUAUAGAAGGAUAAUAAUAAUAUUAAGUCAUCCCUAUAAUUCUUAGAUUGUGAAUCAUAAAGUAUAAUAUUAUUAUUUAUUAAAUAGUAUGUUUAUUAUUUUAUUUCUAGGGGCAUCUAACGAACUCACCGAGCAAACCAAUGAAUUUGGUAAGUAUAUUUUAUGUUUAUUAUCACAUUUUUACUUUCCCUUCUCGUGGACCGGCCAGAUGACUAAUUAAAUAUUAUUGUUAACUUCUAUCCUGUAUUGAAGUGAUGUCUAUUCAAACAUUUUUAUUGAAUAGUUGAAUGUGUUGACAUAACACUACUAACGAAUGACGUAUGACGUUUGCAGCUUCACAUUUUUGCUCUAUACCUAUAUUACAAACGUAUAACUUAUGUGAAUGUUUUUCUAAAGAAAACACAUUUUCAUAAUUCUAUAUAACUAGUUUUAUAGAUUCCUUCAGAAUAAUGUUAUCUUUCUAUCUUGUAUUAAUAAUGGUGUCUAAACUAUUCUUUCUUGUCCACAAGCACCUUAAAUUUCAGUUGUACAUGUUCACAUAUCGUUUUGACUUUUUCAGACGUGACGUUUAAUAAAAUUAGCAUAAUAAAUUAAUUAUUAAAGAUUCGAAUAAUAUUUUUUAAAAAUCUGAUACAUUUUUCCCACCUCAGAAUCUGGAUUAAUCUUUAACCUGGUCAAAUAUAUGCUUAAUGCCUAUCAUUAUAUUACAUAUCUAUUUUUCUCUAUUCUAAUCAAUUAAACAUUAUCAUUUGCAGUCAUAAAUACAGGAGGUAUGUGUUAUUUAAUAAUUUUUAAUAUUUAAUAGGUACAUAAUAAUAUUUUGCAUAGAAUUAGUCUUUUGGAUAAAUGUGGUUUUGAUUAUCUGAUUGCUGCAAGCUUUCAUCACCACGACUCAACGAUCUUGUCGUAUCGAUUUUCCGGCCAUCGUUAGACGUCAGUGUAAAGUUUUCACUUUUACGAACCCUGAUGUUAUUUGAUUUAUUAUUUUUUUUUACACUCUACUACACCUUGACAAUAUAAAUCUUGAAACUCGUUUCUGUAUGCGUAGUGUUCUUCAUUUCAAUAUUAGCUGUUUCUUCUUCAAUCUCUGAUUGUUUGAGAUUAUACUCGCGACAUCGGUAGGCGCUUCUUCAGAUUUAUCUAUUCUGCAUUACUCAUUAAGAUAUUAAUGUCUCUCUAGGUUAAGUUUAUCUAUCUAGUAAAUUUGACUUUUUAAAUACAACAACGGUGUAUGCGCAACGCGUUAUCAGGCAUUUUUACUAUGUUAUGAGAAUAAAUUAUAUAAAUCAACAUAAUUAGCUAAAUUAAAAUUUUAAUUUUGUUUUGGAAAACACGCUAAACACUCAAGUUUUUUUUUUUAGUACGUAUUCGGAAAUUGAAUUUACCUAGGAAGUUUAAGACUGGUGAAAUUAUGAAUCACUUACCUACUUCACAUUGAAUGUAUUGACAAUAAUUGUUACUCCGAUUGAUCUUGCAAUACUGGUAUCUCCUUGAUUAUUAUUUUUAAACAGCAAACCAAUGUUAGACACAUGUUAAUUUAAAUGCUGAUGCCGUUGUAAUGGUUACUAGUUAAAUUUUUUUAAAGACAUUUUUAAGAUUUAAUUCCUCUCCUGAAAAAUUUGAUAUUUUUUAAUACCAUCUUUUCGUUCCAAGCUUACGAAAUCUUUUAUUCUCGGGUGACUUAUACGUCUAAUCAAUUAUAUUUAUAUACUUACAUAAAAAAGAAGGUUAUUAAUUGAUAUUUUAUUAUUUUUUG